rnacentral:rRNA from 1 species
CCUACGGGAGGCAGCAGUGAGGAAUAUUGGUCAAUGGGCGCGAGCCUGAACCAGCAACGUAGCGUGAAGGAUGACUGCCCUACGGGUUGUAACCUUCUUUUAUAAAGGAAUAAAGUGAGGCACGUGUGCCUUUUUGUGUGUACUUUAUGAAUAAGCAUCGGCUAACUCCGUGCCAUCAGCCGCGGUAAUACUGAGGAUCCGAGCGUUAUCCGGAUUUAUUGGGUUUAAAGGGAGCGUAGAUGGGUUGUUAAGUCAGUUGUGAAAGGUUGCGGCUCAACCGUAAAAUUGCAAUUGAUACUGGCAGCCUUGAGUACAGUGGAGGUAGGCGGAAUUCGUGGUGUAGCGGUGAAAUGCGUAGAUAUCACGAAGAACUCCGAUUGCGAAGGCAGCUUACUAAACUGCCACUGACAUUGAGGCUCGAAAGUGUGGGUAUCAAACAGGAUUAGAUACCCCAGUAGUC